rnacentral:rRNA from 1 species
AUUGAACGCUGGCGGCAUGCCUUACACAUGCAAGUCGAACGGCAGCGCGGGGCAACCUGGCGGCGAGUGGCGAACGGGUGAGUAAAAUAUCGGAACAUACCCUAGAGUGGGGGAUAACGUAGCGAAAGUUACGCUAAUACCGCAUACGAUCUAAGGAUGAAAGUGGGGGAUCGCAAGACCUCAUGCUCAUGGAGUGGCCGAUAUCUGAUUAGCUAGUUGGUAGGGUAAAAGCCUACCAAGGCGACGAUCAGUAGCUGGUUUGAGAGAACGACCAGCCACACUGGAACUGAGACACGGUCCAGACUCCUACGGGAGGCAGCAGUGGGGAAUUUUGGACAAUGGGGGCAACCCUGAUCCAGCAAUGCCGCGUGAGUGAAGAAGGCCUUAGGGUUGUAAAACUCUUUCGCCGGUGAAGAUAAUGACGGUAACCGGAGAAGAAG